AUGAGGUGCCACAAGGCACGGAGGAACAAGAAGGGGAAAGGUGUUGCGCCUGUCGUUCCGGAACGAAAGAGAGGUAUCAUUCUCAAGACUGAGUGCCCUGUCCGGUGUAAGCUAAACGUAGAUGGAUCAUAGUGGGUGGUCAAUGAAUAUUUUGACGAGCACAACCACCAACUCAUAAAGAAGUUCGACCUGGUAAAAUUUCUAACCGCCCACAGAGGGUUCACCCCCGUCGAAAGGCAAUUCGUAAAGCUGCUACAUGAUUGUAACGUCGGUCCAUUAAGAAUGGUACAGAUACUAUCUCUCAUCCACAGCAAAAAGGGGACUCUGAGUAGCAUGCCGUACAUACCAGCUGACGUCACAAACCUACAAGCCAAGUACCAUAGAGAGAGCAAGUUGGCAGACAUAGAGGCCACAAUGGCCUACUUCGAUGAAAAAACGAAGGAAGAUCCAGAUUUCUUCUACGGGAUAAGGUUGGACGAUGAGGACCGUGUCAGGAACAUGUAUUGGGUGGAUGGUGCUGCAAGGAGAGCCUACAAACAUUUCCGAGAUUGCAUUUCAUUCGACGCGACGUACCUCACCAAUAUGUACAAGAUGCCAUGCGCUCCGUUCAUAGGAAUAAAUAACCACAACACGGAUGGGUACGUUUGGUUGUUCAAGACCUUCUUGGAGUGCAUGGAUGAACUUGCUCCGAUGAACAUAAUAACAGACCAAGAUUUCAGCAUGCGUGCAGGCAUAGAGGAGGUCUUUCUAUUGGCAGUGGACAGGCACUACAGGUGGCACAUUAUAAAGAAGGCUGAGGAGACGCUAGGACCGUUCUUUGCUACUAUGCAGCGCAGCAAGGGGUUCAAUGCUGUUUUGAAGCGACGGGACGGCAUUGUGUGCUGUCACAUACUAAAAGUAAUGGACAUGAACGUUGUGACACGGAUGCCCCGCCAUUUCAUAAGGCGGCGAUGGACUUGGGACGCUGACGACGCGUUGGCGCCGCACACAACACACGCAGUUCUGGCUGUGCAUGACGAGAGACCUGAGUCAACCAUGGAAGCCGUGAGGCACGUUGUGCUGACAAAGAACUAUGCUGAGCUAAUUGAUGAAGCGUGCAAGAGUGAUGAGACAGCGAGAGUCGCAGAAAAACACAGGAAGGCACUGAAAAGAGAGCUUGAUGAGAUCAAGAAGAGGAAAGCUGAGGAAGCCUUACACCGGUUCCCCCGCACAUCAAGUGUGCCUUCAUCCACGGGGCCAUCAUCUGAAAACUCAGAGAUAGGAUCUGGAACAGCAAGCACACAGACCCAGGUCAGGAACCCACCCUGUUCUAUCACAAAGGGUCGUCCGAGAGAGAUAAGGUACAAGUCGGGAUUGGAGAUCCAAGCAAAACACAAGAAAACGAAGAAAGGGGCGGGCAAUCCAUGA
rnacentral:rRNA from 1 species